rnacentral:misc_RNA from 1 species
GAUGAAGAACGCAGCGAAAUGCGAUAAGUAAUGUGAAUUGCAGAAUUCAGUGAAUCAUCGAAUCUUUGAACGCACAUUGCGCCCCCUGGUAUUCCGGGGGGCAUGCUUGUCCGAGCGUCAUUACAACCCUCAAGCUCAGCUUGGUGUUGGGCCCCGCCGCCCCGGCGGGCCCUAAAGUCAGUGGCGGUGCCGUCCGGCUCCGAGCGUAGUAAUUCUUCUCGCUCUGGAGGUCCGGUCGUGUGCUCGCCAGCAACCCCCAAUUUUUUUCAGGUUGACCUCGGAUCAGGUAGGGAUACCCGCUGAACUUAAGCAUAUCAAUAAGCGGAGGA